GUGGGGAAUCUUGCGCAAUGGGCGAAAGCCUGACGCAGCCAUGCCGCGUGAAUGAUGAAGGUCUUAGGAUUGUAAAAUUCUUUCACCGGGGACGAUAAUGACGGUACCCGGAGAAGAAGCCCCGGCUAACUUCGUGCCAGCAGCCGCGGUAAUACGAAGGGGGCUAGCGUUGCUCGGAAUUACUGGGCGUAAAGGGCGCGUAGGCGGAUCGGUAAGUCAGGGGUGAAAUCCGAGAGCUCAACUCUGGAACUGCCCUUGAUACUGGCGAUCUUGAGUGUGAGAGAGGUAUGUGGAACUCCGAGUGUAGAGGUGAAAUUCGUAGAUAUUCGGAAGAACACCAGUGGCGAAGGCGACAUACUGGCUCAUUACUGACGCUGAGGCGCGAAAGCGUGGGGAGCAAACAGGAUUAGAAACCCGAGUAGUCC
rnacentral:rRNA from 1 species